GAGUUUUCAAGGGGCGUUGAUAAAUGCUUCAUCUAGCUGUGAAGUUAUCCAAUGACAAAUAGUUGUGGACUGGAACCUUAAAGCCUGCACCAGCAUAGCUAGUCUCUGAACACCCAGUAGCUGACGAUUAUUGGUGGACUCCAAGAAUCGGCCAAAGUUGGUGUAAUGACUGGGGAAGUGCAGAGUUGGAACUGCUACAAUAGAUGGUAAAUGACUAUGGCAAAUGACGAGGCCUCUACUAUGCUUCCCUGAGAGUAGUGGUUGGAUAUCUUUCGGCUACCAACUUCGCAAAAAAAUGAACAGCAAGGAGUUUU
rnacentral:lncRNA from 1 species